rnacentral:rRNA from 1 species
GACGAACCGUGCGAACGUUAUUCGGAAUCACUGGGCUUAAAGGGCGCGUAGGCGGGCAGGCAAGUCGGAGGUGAAAGCCCACGGCUCAACCGUGGAAGGGCCCCCGAUACUGCUUGUCUGGAGGGAGAUAGGGGCGUGCGGAACUUCCGGUGGAGCGGUGAAAUGCGUAGAUAUCGGAAGGAACACCGGUGGCGAAAGCGGCGCGCUGGAUCUCUACUGACGCUGAGGCGCGAAAGCCAGGGGAGCAAACGGG